rnacentral:lncRNA from 1 species
ACAAAAUUUAGAAAGUAAUAGUGUCCGUCUAUUGAGGCUUUCGGUAUCGGGCCCCAUAGAUCCGCAUAUACGAUAUCUAAAACUUGUUUAGCAGAGUUCUCUGGACGUGAGGGGGAGGGGAGACGAUGGUGUUUUGCUAUUACACAUGAAUUACAAGGAGGAAUUAUUUUAUUCAAUAACGGUGAUACACCCAAUGAAAAAUUUUAACAACUGAUUUAGUUAACUUUUCCGAGACGGGGCCAAGGCGAUAGUGCCAGAGAGUCAUCGAGAUACUGUCCACCGUAUUUGCUUCUUUCUUCUUGCUUCUUUCUUCUUGCCGUCGAGACUGAUUUCUCCAGUCACAUACGGAAGGAGUCCGUAUCCGCGCAGGAAAGUGAGCACCUGUGCUUGCCAUACGAAGUAGUUGCUGCCGGCGAGACGUUCUGCACAUUGAUGCUUUAAUUUCUCAAUUUUCAUCUGACCUGUCGCGUUGCCGAAAAUGACGUCGCCGUGGAAAGUCAUAGUUUCCAGGGCAGAAUGGUUGCAGUUGAUUUCAGUUCUUGAAUCGGACGACGAUUGUGAGGACGAAGAUCGCGAGGACGAAGACUCGGUAGAAAUCAGCUUCGGAUUUGCAAUGCGUACGGACGUGUUGCGAAGAUGUCGAGUUACGGCAGAAAUCGAAUUUAGCCGAAAUUAAAUUCAGCAGAAAUUCAACCGACAGAAAUCAAAUUCAGAAGAAUUUAAAAGUUGCAAACCGUGUUGCGGAGGUGUCGCGGCAGAAAUCUGAAAUGAAAAUCGCUGAAACGUGCAGAAACGGCGUGCUCGCGGAUGAAAUCGACAGGAGCAGAAUCGUAGAUCGGACGAUGAUUGAACGAGACCGGAGCCGUAGAACUCGCGUGGAUGAAAUCGACGUUGCCGAACCCGGAGUUGAAACCGCAAGAAUCGCACAAAAUCCAAAUCGUAUAUCUUAUUAUCUUAUUAUAAAUUUGCUGGUUUCAUUUUAGAGGUAUAUCUUAUUAUAAAUUUGUUAUAUGUGCUGUUAUUUCAUUUUAGAUAGUAUAUUUUAUUACCAAUUUCAUCUCAUUCUAUAUCGUUGAAAUUAUUGCUGCAGAUUGUUGCGAUUUACAAUCUUGCAAUUUUUUUUUUUGCAUCUACAUUGCUGCUGUAAUUUUGCUUCGCGAUUCUGGAUUUCGCAUUUUGCGAUUGGAUUUAUCACAAUUUUGAAAUAUGCAUUCUUUGAAUUUCUUAUUUUUGCAUUCUGGUUCGGGAUUUCUGCUCGCCGUUUGGUUAGUUGUAUCAUUUUAUUUAUUUAUUUUUAUUUUCUUUUGUGUAUUUAUAUUUUAG